rnacentral:rRNA from 1 species
GACGAACGCUGGCGGCGUGCUUAACACAUGCAAGUCGAACGGAAAGGCCCUGCUUUUGUGGGGUGCUCGAGUGGCGAACGGGUGAGUAACACGUGAGUAACCUGCCCUUGACUUUGGGAUAACUUCAGGAAACUGGGGCUAAUACCGGAUAGGAGCUCCUGCUGCAUGGUGGGGGUUGGAAAGUUUCGGCGGUUGGGGAUGGACUCGCGGCUUAUCAGCUUGUUGGUGGGGUAGUGGCUUACCAAGGCUUUGACGGGUAGCCGGCCUGGGAGGGUGACCGGCCACAUGGGGACUGAGAUACGGCCCAGACUCCUACGGGAGGCAGCAGUGGGGAAUAUUGCACAAUGGGCGGAAGCCUGAUGCAGCAACGCCGCGGGCGGGAUGACGGCCUUCGGGUUGUAAACCGCUUUCGCCUGUGACGAAGCGUGAGUGACGGUAAUGGGUAAAGAAGCACCGGCUAACUACGUG